rnacentral:rRNA from 1 species
CCUACGGGAGGCAGCAGUGAGGAAUAUUGGUCAAUGGGCGCGAGCCUGAACCAGCCAAGUCGCGUGAGGGAUGAAGGCCCUACGGGUCGUAAACCUCUUUUAUAAGGGAAUAAAGUGUGGCACGUGUCCUUUUUUGUAUGUACCUUAUGAAUAAGGAUCGGCUAACUCCGUGCCAGCAGCCGCGGUAAUACGGAGGAUCCGAGCGUUAUCCGGAUUUAUUGGGUUUAAAGGGAGCGUAGGUGGCCUGUUAAGUCAGCUGUGAAAGUCUGCGGCUCAACCAUAGAAUUGCGAUUGAAACUGGCAGGCUUGAGUAUGGUUGAGGUAGGCGGAAUGCGUGGUGUAGCGGUGAAAUGCUUAGAGAUCACGAAGAACCCCGAUUGCGAAGGCAGCCUGCCAAGC